CCUUCGAUAGCUCAGUUGGUAGAGCGGUGGACUGUAGUUGGCUGGAUCCAAAAGAAGAUAUCCAUAGGUCGCUGGUUCGAAUCCGGCUCGAAGGA
rnacentral:tRNA from 1 species